ACAGUGCAAAUAGAAUGUGAUACAGUUCGAACAGAAUGUGAUACAGGAUUUUAGACAGUUCUAAGUUUUUUUUUUUGGUGAAAAUCUAAAAUCGUGUGAAAUUAUUUGUCCAUCAAACGUUAAUCGGAAGUUAGUUCAAGCCACUGAACGCAGUAAAUGUACAAAAACGAAACAUUUUUUUAUGAACGAUCUCUUAGCUCGACAUGUGGCAAAUCGAAAAUGGCUAACCAAAAAAAAAUGGCGAAAUUACUGCAAUGCGGUGUAUUGCUCAGUGAUUUGAUGUCAGCUAGGAGUUGUCGAUUAAUCGGAACUGAAGAGCUACUGAAUGCAGUACAAAAAACGGAACAUUUUCCAUGAUCGAUGUCUGAGCUCGACAUGUGGCAAAUCGAAAAUGGCUAACAAAAAAAAGAUGGCGAAAUACGUUCACAUUUGCAAUGUCGUAUAUUGUUUAGUGAUUUGAUGUCAGAUCAGCACAGUUUCCCGGAUACCAUGUAUGCAGAUUAACAAUAUCCGUUUCUACUAAGCAUCAGGAUACCGGAUCGACGAGCAGAGUUCUUAGACAGGACCGAUUAUCUGCCAACAAUUGACAUUUGCACAUACACCAGAAUGUCGUCGUAAUCACAUGGAAUGAUCUAGAAUUUUCACGAAUCAUCUCCGUUGCUUGAGUUUGGCUUUCUGCGGAACACGUCAGUGACAGCUUGCCGAUUUUUCUGGUAAGAUCAGGAGAGCACAGUGCAAACCUCAAAAUUAAUUUUACUUCCAACGACUUUGGAAAGUUUGAGGUUAGAAACAGCUUCGUUAACUUGAACAGGUGCUUUCUGUGGAGCACGUCAGUGAAUGCUAAAUAUUUCUGGUAAGAUCAGGAGAGUACAGUGCAAACCUAAAAAUUAAUUUAGUUUUCAAUGGUUUUGAAAAGUUCGAGAAAUCAGGUCGAUUAGUAAUUAACUUUAAUAUUUCCAAUGCAGACUAUGUAAAGACAAACUCUAAUCAGUGAACAUUUUCCUAUUACAAUUUUGCACGUUUGUGGCAUUAUACUAACAUCCAUAUGGAUUAAGAAGUUUUUGAUGUUAAUUUUGAGAAGAUAGUGACGGAUUUCUGUGGGCAUGUCAAACCGAACUCAUUUUGGCAUCUAUUUUGCCAAACCAGACUCUACGUGAAAGCAGACCAACCACUGAAGUUUCUCAAUAUUUUCUAUUUCCUAUUCGUAUAUCCUGGUCAUGGCAUCAAAUGUUGCGUUUCAUCUUCCAUCCCGCACGGGUUGACGUCCGAAACGCCCAACCAUCUCAUUUUCUAACUUUAAUUCUAAUUUUCGGGUGAAGCUCGAAGUUUUUAGUACAAACUGAGCUCGCGAUUUUAAGGCGAAAGCUUAUCCAACUUUUGUCAGAUAGCUGAUACCACUGUUUCUGCAAAUGACAGUGACUAGUGUCUAUAAAGAUGUCUGUUUCUAAAAGAACGUUGCGGUUACGCUGAUGUGAGGGUUUACUUGAAGAGUGGCGAGUUUUCUACACGACUUCUCUCUUUUCUACAAUGCUGGCAUAUUCAACGGAAAAUAUGGUAAGGGCGCUGCAACCGUAUACUUGGACGAGUUUGUACAUCUCUUCAAAACUAGGUCGUUUUAGAAUAUUUACUGCGCCAUUGUCGUGACUUUGGUCUUUCAGGAAUAUUUUUUCGAUAGUCCAUUUGUUCUGACGUGGGAUUUUCCCGACGUCUUUUAUUAAGGAGGUUACAGCUUCGUGUACCGCGUAAUGUAUUUUGAUAAAACUUACAAUUUUCACACUGAAUUCUCGUGUAAGACUCGAUAUUUUUCAGUUGAAAUCUAAGAAAUGUGCGCGAUUACAAAUGACUUUUAUUGAUUCGAAACGUUACGAUUCUCACCGUAACACUAUUCUUAAUAUACCUUGUCGUAAAGAUAAGUACCGUAGACCAUGCUCCUAUGUUUUGUUUUCUUAUGUCUUUAUUUUCCUACACUUAACUCUUCUACAUAACGUAAUUAAGAUUUACAUAGUUUGAAUCACAUAACCAUUUGCAUAUUUUAAUCACUAAUUUUGACAUCUAUCACAUCUCACGUUUCUCUUUAAGUCCUUUACAAGAUGGAUUAGACCGAAUACUCAUCAUUCUGGUUUGUAAUCAAUGCUAUCAAAUUGCACCUCGUAAGAUACAGCGUAAUUGGUCGAGUUUGUAAAUCUCUUCAAAACUAGGUCGUUUUAGAAUAUUUACUGCGCCAUUGUCGUGACCUUGGUCCUUAUGAUAUCCUGUCACGGUCAUCAAGUUACGUGUUUUGCGUAUCAU